rnacentral:lncRNA from 1 species
UAGUCCAAAAGGAAUCAUCCCUCUUCCUUACAGAGCUUGACGUGUGUGCGAAGUAGAGGGCCUAUGCUUUUAGGCCUCACGAGAUAUCGAAUUCAAGCAAUCUCUGGGGAUUUGAUCCCUAUUCCACUGUGAUCAAGGUAAUCCAUAAUUGCUAUGUAUGCAUUUGAAUAGAAAAAAUUUUAAAACACAUCCUGACAAUCC